rnacentral:rRNA from 1 species
AUACCCGUUGUGGGGAAUUCAGUGAUCCUAUGCUGCCGAGAAAAGCCUCUAGUGAGUUCAUACACGGCCCGUACCCCAAACCGACACAGGUGAUCAGGUAGAGAAUACCAAGGCGAUCGAGAGAACUGUGGUUAAGGAACUCGGCAAAAUGCCCCCGUAACUUCGGGAGAAGGGGGACCAUGCCCGGUGAACAUCUUCACGGUGGGAGCUGGGUGUGGUCGCAGAGACCAGAGAGAAGCGACUGUUUACUAAAAACACAGGUCCGUGCGAAGACGUAAGUCGAUGUAUACGGACUGACGCCUGCCCGGUGCUGGAAGGUUAAGAGGACCGGUUAGCCGUAAGGCGAAGCUGAGAAUUUAAGCCCCAGUAAACGGCGGUGGUAACUAUAACCAUCCUAAGGUAGCGAAAUUCCUUGUCGGGUAAGUUCCGACCUGCACGAAUAGCGUAACGACUUCUCUGCUGUCUCGACCACAGACUCGGCGAAAUUGCACUACGAGUAAAGAUGCUCGUUACGCGCGGCAGGACGAAAAGACCCCGGGACCUUUACUAUAGCUUGGUAUUGGCGUUCGAUUCGGUUUGUGUAGGAUAGGUGGGAGACUGUGAAGCAUGCACGCCAGUGUGUGUGGAGUCGUUGUUGAAAUACCGCUCUGAUCGUAUUGGACGUCUAACCUCGGCCCAUGAUCUGGGUUAGGGACAGUGCCUGGUGGGUAGUUUAACUGGGGCGGUUGCCUCCUAAAGAGUAACGGAGGCGCCCAAAGGUUCCCUCAGCCUGGAUGGCAAUCAGGUGUUGAGUGCAAGUGCACAAGGGAGCUUGACUGUGAGACUGACACGUCGAGCAGGGACGAAAGUCGGGACUAGUGAUCCGGCACCGGCAAGUGGGAGCGGUGUCGCUCAACGGAUAAAAGGUACCCCGGGGAUAACAGGCUGAUCUUCCCCAAGAGUCCAUAUCGACGGGAUGGUUUGGCACCUCGAUGUCGGCUCGUCGCAUCCUGGGGCUGGAGUAGGUCCCAAGGGUUGGGCUGUUCGCCCAUUAAAGCGGCACGCGAGCUGGGUUUAGAACGUCGUGAGACAGUUCGGUCUCUAUCCGCCGCGCGCGUAAGAAACUUGAGGAAGGCCGUCCCUAGUACGAGAGGACCGGGACGGACGAACCUCUGGUGUGCCAGUUGUUCCACCAGGAGCAUGGCUGGUUAGCUACGUUCGGAAGGGAUAACCGCUGAAAGCAUCUAAGCGGGAAGCCUGUUCCAAGAUGAGGUUUCUCACCACCUUGCGUGGUUAAGGCCCCCUACAGACCAUGGGGUUGAUAGGCCGGAACUGGAAGCGCAGCAAUGCGUGGAGGUGACCGGUACUAAUAGGCCGAGGGCCU